CGGGGGUUGGGCAGGGGAAUGGAGCAUUGGAAGUUAAGACCACGUUUAGCCAUUGUUCUCUCUUACAUCUGGCCUUCACAAUUGAAGCUCACGGUUGGUUUUUGGGGUAUCUUUCAUUUAUUUGGCGUGGGCUAUGGCCAAACAGUAGCCUGUGUAAAGUUGGGUUAGUAAACCGUCAAUUCGUAAACUCAAGCCUCAGUCUGGGCAAUUGUUCCUUUAUGAUCUAGUCAGGUCAUUACAAUACGCUGCCGCUACUCUGUUUUUUAUAUUUUUUUUAAUUAAAAUUGUCUUACUUUUUAACUGCAUUGUUGGUAAAAAUAAUCUCGUAUGUAAGCAUUUCACAUUCAAGUCUACAGCUGUUGUAUUCCGUGCAUAUGACAAUUACAGUUGGACUUGAUUUGAAAGGCCCUAUACGGAUUGACCAUGAAAUGCAUGCCUCCAGCAGGAUGCACAGACAACAACUAUAGUUUGCAUGCCCUGCCGAAAGAUCCUUUCAUGCGGAAUAGAUGGUUGGAAUUUGUUGGUCCCCAGUGGUGGUGAGUAUACUGGCCCUCCCAGUCAACAUCACCUCAUAAGAUUGCCUGCUGCAGUUAUUCGAGAGAUGUCCAGUGACAGCCGAACAUGCAGCAUAGAGAAGACCAGCAAGGGGGCCCUCAUCAGCAUCAUGUAGGCAUGCCCUCGCUGUGAGCAUUCCUACAGUAUGAAUGGAAAUGUCAACCACAUGUUGGCAAGUAUCUGGCCAGCAACCUUCACCUGUCAGCAGCAACAGCUUUCACAGGCUCAUAAUUUGUAUAAAUACAGAAGGAAACCCACUUCAUUACUUUGAUAUAUUUGAUACACCAAUUGUUAAACAUCAUUUAUGUAAACUGACAUUAUUUGUUGCUUAUUUUCUACUUCUUAGAUGGACGUUCACCAUUCUAUUUCACUUUACAUUUGAUAUCUGAAGUGAAAUAGAAAGGUGAACACAGCGAUCAGCUUGGUUGCACCAGGCUAGGUUACGCAGUGGACAUUAAAUCUGAUGAGACCUAUCCUAACUACUUUUGGUAAUAGAACAGCGACUAUGUGUGUUCACAAAAAUAUGUAUGGAGCCAGCACAUGGAGACUUGCAAGAUGAUGUGCAGACUGACAGACAGGCUUAAUACGGAUGUAGAACUAAGAACAGAUAUAGCCCUGGGUUCACUCCAGACCUGACUGCCCUCGACCAGCACAAAAACAUCCUGUGGUGGACUGCAAUAGCAACUUUUCAGGGAAGUCAAGAACCAAUACACACACAGUAAGAAAAGCAAAGGCUAUAGCUUUUUCAAACAGAAAUUUGCAUCCUGUAGCUCUAACUCCAAAAAGUUUUGGGACACUAAAGUCCAUGGCGAACAAGAGCACCUCCUCCCAGCUGCCCACUGCACUGAGGCUAGGUAACACUGUCACUACCGAUAAAUCCACGAUAAUCGAGCAUUUCAAUAAGCAUUUCUCUACGGCUGGCCAUGUUUUCCUCCUGGCUACCCCAGCCAUCAGCUCCGCAGCUACUUGCCCAAGCCUCCCCAGCUUCUCCUUCACCCAAAUACAGAUGGCGGAUGUUCUGAUAGAGCUGCAAAACCUGGACCCGUACAAAUCAGCUUGGCAAGACAAUCUGGACCCUCUCUUUCUAAAAUUAUCCGCUGCCAUUGUUGCAACCCCUAUUACCAGUCUGUUCAACCUCUUUUUCUUAUCGUCCGAGAUCCCUAAAGAUUGGAAAGCUGCCGCGGUCAUCCCCCUCUUCAAAGGGGGUGACACUCUAGACCCAAACUGUUAGACGUAUAUCCAUCCUGCCCUGCCUUUCUAACGUCUUCGAAGGCCAAGUUAAUAAACAGAUCCCUGAACAUUUCGAAUCCCACCAUACCUUCUCCGCUUUGCAAUCCGGUUUCCGAGUUGGUCACGGGUGCACCUCAGCCACGCUCAAGGUACUAAACGAUAUAACCGCCAUCGAUAAAAGAUUGUACUGUGCAGCCGUCUUCAUCGACCUGGCCAAGGAUUUCGACUGUCGAUCACCGUAUUCUCAUCGGUAGACUCAACAGCUUUGGUUUCUCAAAUGACUGCCUCGCCUGGUUCACCAACUACAUCUCAGAGUUCAGUGUGUCAAAUUGGAGGGCUUGUUGUCCGGACCUCUGGCAGUCUCUAUGGGGGUACCACAGGGUUCAAUUCUUGGGCAAACUCUUUUCUCUGUAUACAUCAAUGAUGUCGCUCUUGCUGCGGGUGAUUUCCUGAUCCACCUCUACGCAGACGACACCAUUCUGUAUACCUCUGGCCCUUCGUUGGACACUGUGUUAACAAACCUCCAAAUGAGCUUCAAUGCCAUAUAACACUCCUUCCGGGGCCUCCAACUGCUAUUAAACGCUAGUAAAACUAAAUCCAUUAUUUUACACUGUUCGCUGCCUGCACACGCCUGCCCAACUAGCAUCACCACUCUGGAUGACUCUGACUUAGAAUAGGUGGACAACUACAAAUACCUAGGUGUCUGGCUAGACUGUAAACUCUCCUUCCAGACUCAUAUUAAACAUCUCCAAUCCAAAAUGAAAUCUAGAAUCGGCUUUGUAUUUCGCAACAAAGCUUCCUUCACUCACGUCGCCAAACAUACCCUCGUAAAACUGACUAUCCUACCGAUCAUCAACUUCGGCGAUGUCAUUUACAAAAUAGCCUCCAACACUCUACUCAGCAAAGUGGAUGUAGUCUAUCACAGUGCCAUCCGUUUUAUCACCAAAGCCACAUAUACUACCCACCACUGUGACCUGUAUGCUCUCGUUGGCUGGCCCUCACUACAUAUCCGUCGCCAAACCCACUGGCUCCAGGUCAUCCAUAAGUCUUUGCUAGGUAAAGCUCCACCUUAUCUCAGCUCACUGGUCACGAUAACAACACCCACCCGUAGCACGCGCUCCAGCAGGUAUAUCUCACUGGUCAUCCCCAAAGCCAACACUUCCUUUGGCCGCCUUUCCUUCCAGUUCUAUGCUGCCAAUGACUGGAACGAAUUGCAAAAAUCUCUGAAGCUGGAGACUUAUAUUUCCCUCACUAACUUUAAACAUCAGCUAUCUGAGCAGCUAACCGAUCGCUGCAGCUGUACAUAGCCCAUCUGUAAAUAUCCCAUCCAAUCUACCUACCUCAUCCCCAUAUUGUUUUUAUUUACUUUUCUGCUCUUUUGCACACCUGUAUUUCUACUUGCACAUCAUCAUCUGCACAUCUAUCACUCCAGUGCUGAUCUGCGAAAUUGUAAUUACUUCGAUACUAUGGCCUAUUUGCCAUUUGCACACACUGUAUAUAGACUUUCUUUUUUUUCUAUGGUGUUAUUUACUGUAUGCUUGUUUAUGCCAUGUGUAACUCUGUUUGUGUCGCACUGCUUUGCUUUAUCUUGGCUAGGUCGCAGUUGUAAAUUAGAACUUGUUCUCAACUAGCCUACCUGGUUAAAUAAAUGUGAAAUAAAAAUACAUUUUUUAAAAGUGUCUCUUUAUGACCUGGCACUCGGCAUUAAAGGUGCACAUUGUUAUAUUCGCGAAACUCUGCUUGAAAGGUAUUAUGUAAAGGGUGGUAUAUUCUACAUGGACCUGUUACUACAUUUGAAUGUUAUUAGAAAAUCUACAUGAAUUCAGAAAUUGCAUUCUUCUCAUA
ensembl:lncRNA